ACCCACAGAAAAUUCAGAAGAACAUCAUAAGAUAGAGAAAGAAAAAGGAACUGAUGGAAAUAUUCAAGAAGAACACAAGUGGCCAGUGCUUGUUGGCUCUUGUGCUCGUGGCUACUGUCAUUUCGUCUUCUGAUGCGUUUGGCCCAGGUACAUGCAUCUCUGACCUAACUAUAAGUCACUAUGGUUUGCUAUGUGAUGCUAAUUUUCUAUGUAUUUCACAAUGUUGAGUUAUAUGGAUCGUUUUGCAUCUGCAUAGCUUGCCAUGCUGGUUUUUUUUUUUUGCGGAUGAUAGCUUGCCAUGCUGUUUUUUUUUUUGCGGAUGAUAGCUUGCCAUGCUGUUGUCUGGGUAUUCUUCUAAACAAUAUUGUUUUUGUGAACAUGCAGAAGGAGGAUGCUUCAUGCCUUUCGUGGAAUGCAAUCUGGACUUGUGCAAGCGUAACUGCGACGGUCUAAUUCCCUAUUGCAAACAGAUAGACGGAGUUUCUGCCCAAUGUUGUUGCUCUCCCAAGAAACUUAGUGCAUCUGUUGAUAAGAAUAACCGUCCUUGAGAUGAAUUCCUAAAUAGUAAUUUGUAUGUCAUUGAUCUUUCAUGGAUCCAAUUCCACCUGAUUGAAUAAAAUUUAUCACCAUUGAAAAAUUAUUGCUCCCGAGAUAUUUAUGUAUCUUGUGAAAUCGUAAUGCUUCAUUUGGAUGUUCAUAUUCAGACCUCGACAUUGAUAUUGAGACCAAUUCUA
rnacentral:lncRNA from 1 species